GAAGCAUCUAUGAUGUACAACUUCCUAUUGUUAUCCUUGCACUUCGAUUACCAGUGAAGAAACUCAUGGGGAAUAUAGACUGAGAUGCCU